rnacentral:rRNA from 1 species
GCCUAGCUUGCUAAGCUUGUUUUUAGUGGCGCACGGGUGAGUAACACGUGAGUUACCUGCCCCCAAGAGUGGGAUAGCCCCGGGAAACUGGGAUUAAUACCGCAUAAUAUCGCAAGAUUAAAGGUGCAAACCGCUUGGGGAUGGGCUCGCGGCCUAUUAGUUAGUUGGUGAGGUAACGGCUCACCAAGGCGAUGACGAGUAGCCGGUCUGAGAGGAUGUCCGGCCACACUGGAACUGAGACACGGUCCAGACACCUACGGGUGGCAGCAGUCGAGAAUCAUUCACAAUGGGGGAAACCCUGAUGGUGCGACGCCGCGUGGGGGAGCGAAGGUCUUCGGAUUGUAAACCCCUGUCAAGUGGGAGCAAAUUAAAAGAUAGUACCACUAGAGGAAGAGACGGCUAACUCUGUGCCAGCAGCCGCGGUAAUACAGAGGUCUCGAGCGUUGUUCGGAAUCACUGGGCGUAAAGCGUACGUAGGCGGCUUGGUAAGUCGUGUGUGAAAGGCAGGGGCUCAACCUCUGGACUGCACAUGAUACUGCCAGGCUAGAGUAAUGGAGGGGAAACCGGAAUUCUCGGUGUAGCAGUGAAAUGCGUAGAUAUCGAGAGGAACACUCGUGGCGA